AGCAGGGGCCUGGGCUUCCCCCUCCCCCGGGGGGCAGGUCCGGCGGCGGUGGGAGGCAGCCUGGCCUUGCCCGCACUCCUGCCCGCCCCCUUCCCCUUGUCCUCCGCGGGUCCCUGAACCCUCAGGUCCGUGCAGCGGACUCUGCGGACUGCUGGACGGGCGCGACGCGGCGGCGGUGCAGAGGCCUGAACCCUUUAACCUUCUGGCUUCUCCCCCACGCCGCGCCGCCCCACCGCACCCCACUCCACCCCGCCCCCUUUACCCAGACUGAGGAGAGUCUGUAUGAUGGAAAGGUUUUUCCCCACAUCGUGUAGCUGGUUAUACUGUGGUUUCCGGGGUAAGAACCUGGGCUCACCAGCCCUAACGGUAUGAACCCAGGUUCCAGGUUUAUGCUUCCAAGGAUUACAGAACUCUCCACCCAGGAAGCGGCCAGACUGCUUCCCCCAUCCCUAGCCUGUCGGCCUGUCUGUCCAUUCACCUUGUGUAGCCCUCUGAGGCUCUGCUCACCUGUCCACCUAUAGGCUGUCUCUUUGCCUGAAGACUCUGCUGUUACCUGGAAAUCUGUGCCAAGGGACUGUUCUGGAAGGAUGAUGUCACUCAAGAUAUGAAGACCCAGAAGAUAGAGCACAUGCCCAGGCUCCAUGCCUCAGAGACCAGCAUGAUGGAUGAGCCUUUUCCACCAAAACCACCACGCCCAGGGACAAGUGCAAAGAGGAACUCUGACUGUUGUUCCCUAAGAGGUCCCGAACCAAGAGAUGACCAACCAUGGCAAGGCCCCACUGCAGAGUAUCUUUGAGCCAUUCCCUAGUCUGAGUCACAAGUCACAACCUCGCAGCUGAUUGAGUCCUCAGGGGAAGCCUCUCAUCUCCCACACCUUCUUGAUGCUCUCAAGAAGGACCAUUUCAGGAUGACCCAAAUUUGGAUCAUUAAAGCUGAUUUUCAAGCAAAAUCUUUCUACAGACUUGUCUGGAGGCAGGACAGGUGGGGUUUGGACCUGACUGGAAUGUUUGAGAUGUCUCUGGAAGAGAUCCGCAUUUGAAUUAGUAGAUUGAGUAAAGAAGAUGCCUUCACUAAUGCGAGUGUGCAUCAUCCAGUCCACCAAGGUCCCAAACAGAGAAAAAAAAGAAAAGAAAAGAAAAGAAAAGAAAAGAAAAGAAAAAAGAAAAGAAAGAAAAAAGAAAAAAGGUGGAGGGAGGGUGAAUCUAUUCUCUGCUUGAACUGAGACAUCCAUCUUCUCCUGUCCCUGGACAUCAGUGCUUCCAAUUUUUGGGCCUUUGGACUCGGAUUGGAACUUAUAUCACCAGGUUCUCAGGUCUUGGGAUGCAGCUUUCCUGGUUCUCUGCUUGCAGAUGGCAAACCAUGGGAUUUCUCAGCCUCCAUCAUUGGAUGCAUCCUUUACUUCCUCGUUUGGGAUCAUUAAAACACUUUUC